UAACGGCAGGUAGCCUAGUGGUUAGAGUGUAGGGACGGCAGGUAGACUAGUGGUUAGAGUGUAGGGACGGCAGGUAGCCUAGUGGUUAGAGUGUAGGGACGGCAGGUAGACUAGUGGUUAGAGUGUAGGGACGGCAGGUAGCCUAGUGGUUAGAGUGUAGGGGCGGCAGGUAGCCUAGUGGUUAGAGUGUAGGGACGGCAGGUAGCCUAGUGGUUAGAGUGUAGGGACGGCAGGUAGCCUAGUGGUUCGAGUGUAGGGACGGCAGGUAGCCUAGUGGUUAGAGUGUAGGGACGGCAGGUAGCCUAGUGGUUAGAGUGUAGGGAUGGCAGGUAGCCUAGUGGUUCGAGUUUCGGGACGGCAGGUAGCCUAGUGGUUAGAGUGUAGGGACGGCAGGUAGCCUAGUGGUUAGAGUGUAGGGAUGGCAGGUAGCCUAGUGGUUCGAGUUUCGGGACGGCAGGUAGCCUAGUGGUUAGAGUGUAGGGACGGCAGGUAGCCUAGUGGUUAGAGUGUAGGGAUGGCAGGUAGCCUAGUGGUUCGAGUUUCAGGACGGCAGGUAGCCUAGUGGUUAGAGUGUAGGGACGGAAGGUAGCCUAGUGGUUAGAGUGUAGGGACGGCAGGUAGCCUAGUGGUUAGAGUGUAGGGACGGCAGGUAGCCUAGUGGUUAGAGUGUAGGGACGGCAGGUAGCCUAGUGGUUAGAGUGUAGGGACGGCAGGUAGCCUAGUGGUUAGAGUGUAGGGGCGGCAGGUAGUCUAGUGGUUAGAGUGUAGGGACGGCAGGUAGCCUAGUGGUUAGAGUGUAGGGACGGCAGGUAGCCUAGUGGUUAGAGUGUAGGGACGGCAGGUAGCCUAGUGGUUAGAGUGUAGGGACGGCAGGUAGCCUAGUGGUUAGAGUGUAGGGGCGGCAGGUAGCCUAGUGGUUAGAGUGUAGGGGCGGCAGGUAGUCUAGUGGUUAGAGUGUAGGGACGGCAGGUAGCCUAGUGGUUAGAGUGUAGGGACGGCAGGUAGCCUAGUGGUUAGAGUGUAGGGGCGGCAGGUAGUCUAGU